GACAGAGGUGCCGAGCGUUAGGCGGAAUCACUGGGCUUAAAGCGUGUGUAGGUGGAUUUCUAAGUACCUUGUGAAAUCCCACGGCUUAACCGUGGAACUGCUUGGUAUACUGGGUGUCUUGAGCCAGCUAGGGGCUACCGGAACAAAUGGUGGAGCGGUGAAAUGCGUAGAUAUCAUUUGGAACGCCAAUGGUGAAAACAGGUAGCUGGGGAUGUGCUGACACUGAGACACGAAAGCCAGGGGAGCGAACGGG
rnacentral:rRNA from 1 species